GCAGCCGCGGUAAUACGUAGGUGGCAAGCGUUAUCCGGAUUUACUGGGUGUAAAGGGUGUGUAGGCGGGAUGGUAAGUCAGAUGUGAAAAUUACGGGCUCAACUCGUAACCUGCAUUUGAAACUGCCGUUCUUGAGGGUCGGAGAGGUAGACGGAAUUCCUGGUGUAGCGGUGAAAUGCGUAGAUAUCAGGAGGAACACCGGUGGCGAAGGCGGUCUACUGGACGAUUACUGACGCUGAGACACGAAAGCGUGGGGAGCAAACAGGAUUAGAUACCCC
rnacentral:rRNA from 1 species